rnacentral:rRNA from 1 species
UACAGAGGGUGCAAGCGUUAUUCGGAAUUACUGGGCGUAAAGCGCGCGUAGGUGGGAUAUCAAGUCAGAUGUGAAAUCCCGGGGCUCAACUCCGGAACUGCAUUUGAAACUGAUAUUCUUGAGAUUGGAAGAGGAAGGCGGAAUUCCUGGUGUAGAGGUGAAAUUCGUAGAUAUCAGGAGGAACAUCUGAGGCGAAGGCGGCCUUCUGGUCCAAUACUGACACUGAAGUGCGAAAGCGUGGGGAGCAAACAGG